ACCCCAAACCGACACAGGUGGUCAGGUAGAGAAUACCAAGGCGCUUGAGAGAACUCGGGUGAAGGAACUAGGCAAAAUGGUGCCGUAACUUCGGGAGAAGGCACGCUGAUACGUAGGUGAAGUCCCUUGCGGAUGGAGCUGAAAUCAGUCGAAGAUACCAGCUGGCUGCAACUGUUUAUUAAAAACACAGCACUGUGCAAACACGAAAGUGGACGUAUACGGU
rnacentral:rRNA from 1 species